rnacentral:lncRNA from 1 species
UCUGGGAAAUAAAUGAGCAAAAUAAAUAACUAUAUAUCAAAUGAUAACUACUAAAAUAUAACUAUGUGUUGAAUCAUAAAUAAAAGGUUUCUAAAUGCUAGAACUACCAAAAGUCAAGAAAGACAAAAAUAGCAAAUAAAGUGUAAUAAUACAGCUACAACUCAGGUAAAGUAUGCAGAAACAAUUAGGAAACACUGAGAAUUUUAAAUCUGAUUAAGGAGCCAGCAGAGAUUAUCCAGCAUUCAGCUCACCAUUUAAG